AGUGGCGGACGGGUGAGUAACGCGUGAGAAUCUGCCUUGGGGUCGGGGACAACCACUGGAAACGGUGGCUAAUACCGGAUAAGCCGAUUGGUGAAAGAUUUAUUGCCCGAAGAGGAGCUCGCGUCUGAUUAGCUAGUUGGUGAGGUAAGAGCUCACCAAGGCAGCGAUCAGUAGCUGGUCUGAGAGGACGAUCAGCCACACUGGGACUGAGACACGGCCCAGACUCCUACGGGAGGCAGCAGUGGAGAAUUUUCCGCAAUGGGCGAAAGCCUGACGGAGCAAGACCGCGUUAGGGAGGAAGGCUCUUGGGUUGUAAACCUCUUUUCUCAGGGAAGAAGCUCUGACGGUACCUGAGGAAUCAGCCUCGGCUAACUCCGUGCCAGCAGCCGCGGUAAUACGGAGGAGUCAAGCGUUAUCCGGAAUUAUUGGGCGUAAAGCGUCCGCAGGUGGCGAUUCAAGUCUGCUGUCAAAGCACGGGGCUUAACUCCGUAAAGGCAGUGGAAACUGAAUAGCUAGAGUGCCGUAGGGGUAGAGGGAAUUCCCGGUGUAGCGGUGAAAUGCGUAGAGAUCGGGAAGAACAUCGGUGGCGAAAGCGCUCUACUGGACGGCAACUGACACUCAGGGACGAAAGCUAGGGGAGCGAAUGGGAUUAGAUACCCC
rnacentral:rRNA from 1 species